UCCUUCCCACCUAGAGCAGCUUUGAUUUCAGCCCUCCAGAAAAACGGUUUGGUAGUGGGGAAACAGGACCGCGGAGACCCGUCAUGCCGCCCGUGACUACCCAUUGUGAAAGCUUAAAAAAAAUGCUCCCUGUCGGCCUUCCCUUUUUUCCCCUCCCCCUGAUCCGGCAUCACUUCCGUCCUCUGUCCCCGCGAAAAGGGCGGGGCGCAGCAAGCGCUACCAGUCCCUUCCUAGUCCCUGGAGCUAGGGUGGGGUGCGCUAGCUAAACUGCCCCGUGGAAGUCCCAGCAGGGCGCGGCCUCUAACGAGGGAAAUUAGCCCCAAGCCUCCGGCCCACAGUCCCCGCCUCACGGACCUCCUCACAGGCGUGUCCUGCUCACGUGGCCUCGGGGCGGGCCUGCCUGGAGCACGUGCCUAGCGCGUCAGCAUAAAGGUGCCUGCGAGGCCCGGCGAGCCAGGAUAAGAACGUCCAAUGCGGUCGCCGUGGCGUGCGCUGCCCCAUUUUUUAUGGAGCAUGUGUCGUCCGUGAUCCCGUCAACCUCUGCGACCGUGGGAGCUUACGUGGCCGCGGUGGAGACGUGCAAGACACAGAGUAAACAAAGUGGCCCCGAGUGGUAAACAAGCGUGGCUAACCACGAAGCAAAGCAAGCAUCCAAUCAAAUAUCAACCAAUCCGGGGGCAAAGCUGGAAAACGGAGACUUCUUGUGGGGGCGGGGACAAGAUGCGGAGCUCGGCCGGAACGCAGUGGGCUGCAAGACCUUGAUCUGGUGGGGGGCAGGGAGAGGAAGGUGGCCCCUUGGGUGCAUUGGGAAAAACCUUAGCUUUGCAGUCGGAACAUCCGAGUACCGGACAGCAGCAGCUGUGAGCCUGGGAAAAUUACCAAAUUUAUAGCCUCGUUUGAUGGUCUGUAAAGUGGGCAAGGUAUUUGGCAAUGCCUGCCUCGGUAUCCGGAGCAAAAUGCUUUCAAACCAGACGCCCAGAGGGUUUCUUCCUAGCACUUUUGGUUGGUGCAUCCCUUCCCACACAACUGGGAUUAGUGGUAGGCAGCUGCUGGGGUGCCUUUUGGGAGUGAUGCACGAUAGGGAUAAUUGUUCAUGGUUUUACAAAGCACAUUUUUGAAUUCCAGAAACCCCAUCCCCUUGUAUCAAAAUGAAUGCUCAAGGCCUUCAGGUGGAUGAUUCGGGGGAGAACAAACUCGGGGUGAACGAUUUACCUUGGUAUCUGAACUGAAAUUAAAUUUUCAGUCACAGGCCUUGGAAACUCCUCCAAGUUGAUGGCCCCAAUUACCACCACCAUCAACAGAGUUAAAGACAAAACCUGAAGAGAGAUUCAGGGCUGGCAAGCUAAUCUACCUGAGGAAGCAGUGUAUCCUGAGAGAGGAGGCAGACUGUAUGAAACCACCACCAUUUUGAUCUUCAUCACCCAACAUCUCUAAUGGAGACAGAAUACCAAGAAAGCAUCACCAUACAGCACGGAAAGAAAUAUUGAAAACAAAUCAACAGCCACACACUUUCGACUCCCCCCGCCCCCAGGACCCAGUCAGAGCCAUAGAGGAGUGGGUGAUUGUCAGGUUUGGGAGUUGGGGGGUAGGGUCAGGAAGAGGAUGGAAUACCAAGUUAAGUUUUCCACGCCACUUCCUCAGACCUGGGUUGGGGAGGGACACAAGAGAAUCCAGAUUCUCCAUUAAAAAUAAUCCAGCCCCACCCAAUCCUAUCCCUCCUACCAAUGUUUCAAGGAAGGGGAGCAGAAGGGAAAGCUAAGAAUUUCCAGGUUCCACCCCCUAUUCAUGGAACCCUAAAUUCACCCUCUACCCACCUCAAGGGAUCCUGAA